AUGAACAAUACUUUAUUUUCUGAGUGGCUUCAGAGGAAUCAUUCAUGAGUUAUUUUCUCAGGCUCUCACUGGAUAUUGUUCUUCCAAAGAUUCAGAUGACUGGUUGGGUAAAAGUCCUUGAGCAAAAUUGUGUACUGUUUGUGCCAGAUGUGUGGAGGAAUUGAUUUGCUCACUGUAAGCAAAAUAGCUGCUCUUGGUUGAAGGACUGGUCUGUGUAGAACAGCAUAUUUCUUGCCAUGUUUCUCCUUCCAGCUCUUCCUCAAAACUCUUCCUGUGCUAUCCACUGAUGCCUUUCUAGCCC